ACUCCUACGGGAGGCAGCAGUGGGGAAUCUUGCACAAUGGGGGAAACCCUGACGCAGCAACGCCGCGUGAAGGAUGAAGUCCUUCGGGUUGUAAACCUCUUCGACCGGGACGAUAAUGACGUACCUCAGA
rnacentral:rRNA from 1 species